rnacentral:lncRNA from 10 species
UUCACUAUGUUGGUCAGGCUGGUCUCAAACUCCUGACCUCAGAUGAUCCACCCGCCCCGGCCUCCCAAAGUGCUGGGAUUACAGGCAUAAGCUACCACGCCCAGCCACUAUUUGUUUUUUUUUUUUUUUGUAAAUUGUCCAUAGGCUUUGCUCACCAUUCGAUGGUUCUUUUGGUUUCUUAUUUAUUUGAAAGUGCUCUUUGGUAUCAAUUAACCUUUUCUCUGUGAUAACACCUACAAUUAUUUCCCCCCGGUUUGUUACUUGCCUUUUGAUUUGCUUCUAGUAUUUAUUUUUACUAUGAAAGAGACUUUUUCUUCUGUGUUUUUUGUUUUACAUAUAGUUAUGUCUAUAUAAAUAUGUUAUUUACUUAUAUAAAUAUUUGUAUUACACAAUCGAGUGUCUUUUCUUUUAUAGCUUCUGGAUUUUGAAACAUAGUUUGAAAGGUCUAACUUACUCCAAGAUUAUAAAAGAAUUCCCCACGU